CCUACGGGAUGCAGCAGUAGGGAAUCUUCGGCAAUGGACGAAAGUCUGACCGAGCAUCGCCGCGUGAGUGAAGAAGGUUUUCGGAUCGUAAAACUCUGUUGUUAGAGAAGAACAAGGACGUUAGUAACUGAACGUCCCCUGACGGUAUCUAACCAGAAAGCCACGGCUAACUACGUGCCAGCAGCCGCGGUAAUACGUAGGUGGCAAGCGUUGUCCGGAUUUAUUGAGCGUAAAGCGAGCGCAGGCGGUUUCUUAAGUCUGAUGUGAAAGCCCCCGGCUCAACCGGGGAGGGUCAUUGGCAACUGGGAGACUUGAGUACAGAAGAGGAGAGUGGAAUUCCAUGUGUAGCGGUGAAAUGCGUAGAUAUAUGGAGGAAAACCAGUGGCGAAGGCGGCUCUCUGGUCUGUAACUGACGCUGAGGCUCGAAAGCGUGGGGAGCAAACAGGAUUAGAUACCCGGGUAGUC
rnacentral:rRNA from 1 species